UAAAGCUAGAAAGAGCGCAGGGCGGAUGCCUUGGCAUUGGGAACCGAAGAAGGACGCGGUUAACUGCGAAAAGCUGCGGUGAGUUGUAAGCGAACUAAGACCCGCAGAUAUCCGAAUGGAGCAAUCCACAUGAGAGAAGCUCAUGUAUCAUAUACUGAAUCAAUAGGUAUAUGAGGGGAACCUCCCGAACUGAAACAUCUAAGUAGGGAGAGGAAAAGAAAUCAACCGAGAUUUCGAGAGUAGUGGCGAGCGAAAUCGAAAGAGGCCAAACCGACGGAAGCAAUUCAGUCGGGGUUGCGGACUGCAAAAAGCAAUGUCGAAGCUUAAUAGAACAGGAUGGGAAGCCUGACCGAAGAACGUGAAAGUCGUGUAAAUGAAAAGCAGAGACAGCAGGCAGAAUCCAGAGUACCGCGGGACACGAGAAACCCCGUGGGAAGCAGGGGGGACCACCCUCCAAGCCUAAAUAUUCCCCAAUGACCGAUAGCGAAGAGUACUGUGAAGGAAAGGUGAAAAGAACCCCGGGAGGGGAGUGAAAAAGAACCUGAAACCCUGUGCUUACAAGCACUGAGAGCACGUCAAAGUGUGAUCAGGUACCUUUUGUAGAAUGGUCCGGCGAGUUAUCGUAUGCAGCAAGGUUAAGAACUUAAGGUUUGAAGCCGAAGCGAGAGCAAGUCUGAAAAGGGCGUCAAGUUGCAUGCGAUAGACCCGAAACCGAGUGACCUAGCCAUGUCCAGGCUGAAGUGGAGGUAAAACUCCAUGGAGGGCCGAACCGACCCCCGUUGAAAAGGUGGCGGAUGAGGUGUGGCUAGCGGAGAAAUUCCAAUCGAACUCGGAUAUAGCUGGUUCUCCCCGAAAUAGCUUUAGGGCUAGCGUUGUAUUAGAUUACCGGAGGUAAAGCACUGAAUGGGCUAGGGGCCGAAAGGUUACUGAACCUUAUCAAACUAAGAAUGCCGGAUAAUUGAUGUACAGCAGUCAGACUGUGUGAGAUAAGUCUCACAGUCGAAAGGGAAACAGCCCAGACCCACAGCUAAGGUCCCAAAAUAGAUUUAAGUGGAAAAGGAUGUGGGGUUGCACAGACAACCAGGAUGUUGGCUUAGAAGCAGCCACUCAUUAAAAGAGUGCGUAAUAGCUCACUGGUCGAGUGACCCUGCGCCGAAAAUUCAACGGGGCUAAAAUCUAUACCGAAGCUUGGGCUGCAAUUGAAAGAUUGCGGGGUAGGGGAGCGUCGUAUAAGAGGAGAAGUCAUAGCGGAAGCGAUGGUGGAUUUUAUACGAGUGAGAAUGCCGGAAUGAGUAGCGAGAAUUAUGUGAGAAUCAUAAUGGCCGAAAAUCUAAGGUUUUAGGAGGAAGGUUCGUCCGCUCCUAGUAAGCCGGGAGCUAAGGCGAGGCGGAAACGCGUAGCCGAUGCACAUACGGUAGAAAUUCCGUAGCCUCUGAAAGAUUUAAGCACAAGGACACUUGAGAAGCGUUUAUCCGGGAGUUGGUAUUCCCGGUCGUAAGGGACCCCGAAUGGGGGAAGUAAAUGUGGAUUGAGGCAAGAAAAGUUGUGUGAAUAUCUGAAGAGCCCGUACCGCAAACCGACACAGGUAGAUAGGAAGAGAAUUCUAAGGCCAACGGGAGAAGGGUUGUUAAGGAACUCGGCAAGUUGACUCCGUAACUUAGGGAGAAGGAGUGCUCGAAAGAGCCGCAGAGAAUAGGCCCAAGCGACUGUUUAGCAAAAACACAGCUCUAUGCUAAAUCGAAAGAUGACGUAUAUGGGGUGACACCUGCCCGGUGCUGGAAGGUUAAGAGGAGAAGUGAGAGCUUUGAAUCGAAGCCCCAGUAAACGGCGGCCGUAACUAUAACGGUCCUAAGGUAGCGAAAUUCCUUGUCAGGU
rnacentral:rRNA from 1 species